UACAGAGGUCCCGAGCGUUGUUCGGAUUCACUUGGCGUAAAGGGUGCGUAGGCGGUCGGGUAAGUCUGACGUGAAAUCUUCAAGCUCAACUUGGAAACUGCGUCGGAUACUAUUCGGCUAGAGGAAUGGAGGGGAGACUGGAAUACUUGGUGUAGCAGUGAAAUGCGUAGAUAUCAAGUGGAACACCAGUGGCGAAGGCGAGUCUCUGGACAUUUCCUGACGCUGAGGCACGAAAGCCAGGGGAGCAAACGGG
rnacentral:rRNA from 1 species